AUUCAGCUGACGAGCCCAAAACAGGACGAAAUGUGUGUUAUGGAU
rnacentral:hammerhead_ribozyme from 1 species